UGUGCCUCUCACGGUGGAUUUGCGAAUUUUCAGUGCGGUAACCGACGUAAAAAACCUAAAAAACGUUUAAUCAUAUCCAGCUCGAUGGCCAGGGAAGACGAACCCAUUGCAACGGGGGAUACGAACGAAAAUUCCAAUGGGUCCAACUCCGACACUAACUCGUCGCACACGAAAGAACCGGAUAACGAUGUGCUGGAAACGCGCCGCGGCAAGCGGUUUGAUUUUCUGCUGAAGCAGACGGAGAUUUCCUCCCACUUCAUGCUAUCGGCCUCGGCAAAGGGAUCAUCGAGCCAAGGCGAUGGGCAAACCGGAGAAAGGAGGCGAUAAGGGCGAGAAGCAACCCGCCGCGAGCACCAAUGUCGACCCGGGAGAUCAUCGAAAGACGGAACAGGAAGAAGAUGAGGAGCUGUUGGUGGAAACGAGAACUUAACCAAAAAUGGUGUUCCGCUUUGAAGCGUCCCCGCCGUAUUCAAGGCUGGCGAGAUGCGAGCCUACCAAAUUAGAGGUCUAAACAGGAUGAUAAUUUUGCUGUACGAAUAUGGAAUCAACGGAAUUUUGGCCGAUGUGAUGGGUCUGGGAAAGACGCUGCAGACAAUUUCCCUGAUGGUUUAUUUGAAGAGCUUGCGAAGCAAUCCAGAACUGCACUUUGUUAUCGCUCCCAAAUCGAUGCUACAGAACUGGGUCAACGAGUUUUGACGGUGGCGUCCUUCGUUGCGUGCGGAUUGGUUGAUUGGAGACCAGGAAACUAGGAAAGUAUUCAUCAGGGAUGUGCUGAUGCCUUGGAAAGGCUCGAGGAAAGGCCCAUCGUAUCAAGAAGGAAAAAUCUGUGCUUUCGGAAAUUUUAAGGGAGUUUAAGACGGUUAACCACCUGUUGCUGACGGGAACGCCGCUUCAGAAUAAUUUUCAUUAGUUGUGGCUUUGUUGAAUGUCCUAUUGCCGGAUAUUUUAACAGCGCAGAUGUUGGUUCGAUGCAAAGGAAUGUAUUGGGGAUAAAAACAUAUCGAACGUUUGCAUGCGGUGUUGAAGCCUUCCAGGUCCGUCGAUUGAAAUCGAAAGUAAAUGAGUGGCUGCUGCUGAAAAAGGAGGUCGAAAUCUUUGUUUGACUGUUCAAGAUGCAAUGCGAGUGGUAUACGAAAAUUCUCAUGAAAUAUGUCGACGUUGUGAAUGGAGCUGGUAAGAUGGGAAAGAUUCACCUUCAGAACAUUUUGAUGCAGACACUGAAAACCACGAAAACCGUUCGGUCUAUCAGUUUGAAGGAGACGAUUAUCGUGAGAAAAACAAACUGUACGCUAUUGGAUCCUGGAUUGAACCAGCAAAACGCGAGCGUAAAGCUAACUAUGCAGUUGAUGCGUUCUUCAAAAAGGCUCUCCGGGUGGCCGAACCUAAAGUACCGAAAGCUCUCCGUCCUCCGAAGCAACCAAUCGUUCAAGACUUCCUGUUUUCCCACCGAGGCUAUUUGAGCUGCUCGACCAGGAAAUCUACCACUAUCGUAAAACGGUCAUCUACAAGGUCCCUAAGAACCCGGAACGGGGCAUGGAAGCAACCAAGGUUCAACGGGAGGAACAGCGUAAGAUCGACGAAACGAAUCCCCUUAGCGAUUAAGAGCUGCUCGAGGAAGAGUCGCUCCUGGCGCAAGGCUUCACCAACUGGAACAAACGAGACUUCAAUCAGUUCAUCAAGUCCAAAGGAGAAAACACGGUAAGGC